AGACCCGAAACCCGGUGAUCUAGCCAUGGGCAGGUUGAAGGUUGGGUAACACUAACUGGAGGACCGAACCGACUAAUGUUGAAAAAUUAGCGGAUGACCUGUGGCUGGGGGUGAAAGGCCAAUCAAACCGGGAGAUAGCUGGUUCUCCCCGAAAGCUAUUUAGGUAGCGCCUCGUGAAUUCAUCUCCGGGGGUAGAGCACUGUUUCGGCUAGGGGGCCAUCCCGGCUUACCAACCCGAUGCAAACUGCGAAUACCGGAGAAUGUUAUCACGGGAGACACACGGCGGGUGCUAACGUCCGUCGUGAAGAGGGAAACAACCCAGACCGCCAGCUAAGGUCCCAAAGUCAUGGUUAAGUGGGAAACGAUGUGGGAAGGCCCAGACAGCCAGGAUGUUGGCUUAGAAGCAGCCAUCAUUUAAAGAAAGCGUAAUAGCUCACUGGUCGAGUCGGCCUGCGCGGAAGAUGUAACGGGGCUAAACCAUGCACCGAAGCUGCGGCAGCGAACGUAUCACUUAAAGCGAUUCAGCGGGUUACGAUUGACGGAGCGAAGCGACGUCAAA
rnacentral:rRNA from 1 species